rnacentral:rRNA from 1 species
UAUGUGAUCGUCUCUCGCAUAUCAAUAAGCGGAGGAAAAGAAACUAACAAGGAUUCCCCUAGUAACGGCGAGUGAAGCGGGAAGAGCUCAAAUUUGAAAUCUUAAAGGGUUUCCCUUUACGAAUUGUAGUUUAAAGAAGUGUUUUCUGUUGAGGUUUUGGUAAAAGUUCUUUGGAAUAGGACAUCAUAGAGGGUGAGAAUCCCGUAUUUGACCUUUACUUUCAACUUUGUGAUACACUUUCAAAGAGUCGGAUUGUUUGGGAAUGCAGUCCAAAAUGGGUGGUAAAUUUCAUCUAAAGCUAAAUAUUGGCGAGAGACCGAUAGCGAACAAGUACCGUGAGGGAAAGAUGAAAAGAACUUUGAAAAGAGAGUUAAACAGUACGUGAAAUUGUCAAAAGGGAAGCGUUUGACACCAGUGUUGUUUUUCUGAAAAUCAAUUAAAGAACUGUUUAUGCUAAGUUGUUUAGACUUUAUCAGCUAUCUGUUUAGUUUUGAGCUUUUCUUUAAUGCACUUUUCAGUUAACAAGUCAACAUCAAUUUCUUUUGCUGUAAAAAAGCUUGAGGAAGGUGGCUUGAGAUUCGUCUUAAGUGUUUAUAGCCUCUUGCCUAUGCAGUCGGAGAGAUUGAGGUCUGCAGCGUAGAUCCUUCGGGGCUAAAUGCAUUUGUGCUAAGUUAUAGCAUUUUAUAGACAACUUGUUGACUAUGAUUUGUCUCGUAGCUUACUCGCUUAUGUUAUUUUACCUACGCUUAGGAUGUUGAGUAGCGACAUACGCAC